UUAACUAAAAUUUAUAUGGAUUGGGAACGUUUGCCUACGUUUGUCGCCAGGGGCGCUGUUCCAACUUCAUACAAAUGUGAGUUA
rnacentral:pre_miRNA from 1 species